rnacentral:rRNA from 1 species
UACAGAGGGUGCGAGCGUUGUUCGGAAUCAUUGGGCGUAAAGCGCUUGUAGGCGGCUUGUUAAGUCGCGUGUGAAAUCCCUUGGCUCAACCAAGGAAGUGCGCGCGAAACUGGCGAGCUCGAGUGCCGGAGAGGGUCGCGGAAUUCCCGGUGUAGAGGUGAAAUUCGUAGAUAUCGGGAGGAACACCAGUGGCGAAGGCGGCGAUCUGGGAAGAUACUGACGCUGAGGUGCGAAAGCGUGGGGAGCAAACAGG